rnacentral:snoRNA from 1 species
CACCCCUGACACUGGGUAGAGAGACAUCUCUUUGAUGGUAUUCUCCUCAUAUCAGUCAGGGGCACAGCAGCAGUCCAAGUUCAUCGGAGCUUGAUGCUCUGCUUGGUAGUCAUAGUUGAUUCAUGCCCUGGACACGUAA